UAAGAUUGCGCGGUAUAUUUAAAACAAAAAUAUGUCUGUCUCGAGUGCAUGCCCUUUAAAUGUUAGCUAGCAUGUCUACAUGAAGACACUAAUUCAUUACGUUUGUUCAAAGUAGCCAGUUCAGGUUUACAUAUAAUAAAGUAUUUUUCCCACAGGCAGAGAUUACAUCUAUUAGAAGCAGGGCUGUAGGGUUUGGCCCGUUUCAAAGUUUGCCAUUUAAUAUGAAAUUCAAUUCCUCUGCGCUUUAACUGCCAGACAUAUUUACUCAGUUCAGUGGAGUUCCUUUUCUCGUACAAAGUAAAUGA